CUUGGCUAUUUGUCUAUUUGCCGUCUGUCGGUUGGCUUCGUUCGUGUACUUCAAUUUUUUAUUAGCAAUUGAUUGAAUGUACAACAUGUGCUGUUCUACACAUGAAGUCACCAAUCGGCAUACAGCUGCGGCCACUGUAAUACAGUCGAUUUAGCCAAGCGAGAAAGAAGUUAUGGAAUGGACCUGGUAAAUGUGAAAAUAGAGUAAAUAUAAAAUUGGUGAUCCUAUAAAUAUGUCCAAAACUACGAAUAUAUCUGUACAUACGUAUCUGUCAUGUGUUCAUUAUCAUUAAGAAUGACAAUUCGAUUCGAUGAAUGACAGUAUAUUA